rnacentral:tRNA from 1 species
GGAAGCGAUUGUCACGCUGGUGCGGGCCUCGGACUUCAAAUCCGAUGGGAUGCGUCGCAAGACGCAUCCGGCGGGUUCGAUUCCCGUCCGCUUCCGCCA